GUUAUUGCGACGUGUGUGGGGUGUGGCUGCUGAUUUUGCUGCUAGCUGCUAGGGUUUCUGCUGUUUUAGGCCAAUUGGGCCCUGUAAUUGGGUUUAACAUGGCCCAAGUUUUAUUGGGUUUGGGCCCGGGCAUAUUUGGGCUUGUACAGCUGCCCCUCUUUGCUCGUUGCCGUGUAACGGGAACAGAGCAAAGACUAAAAGCCCAAUUGUGCCCGGUCUUACUAAGCCUUGACUUCUUCGGUGCUUUUCUUCUUUAAAUAGUCUCAUUCCUUCCUAUUACAUCUUCAGAGAUAUAGGAACUGGUGCUUCUAUAUACUCUACUGCAAUGUCGGGGAGAUAGGAUUACUUUCUUCCGUC
rnacentral:lncRNA from 1 species